GGGCUUGUGGUUUAGUGGUAUAAUACUCCCUUAGCAUGUGACGAUGCAUCUACGGGUGUUACCCGCUGGCUUUCAGAUCGUCUAAGCUUGGGAGUGGUCCGGGGUUCGAUUCCCCGCGAGUCCA